rnacentral:rRNA from 1 species
CACAGGGAGGUAGUGACAGUAAAUAACAAUGUAGGGCCCUCUGGGUCUUACAAUUGGAAUGAGAACAAUUUAAAUCCCUUAUCGAGUAGCAAUUGGAGGGCAAGUCUGGUGCCAGCAGCCGCGGUAAUUCCAGCUCCAAUAGCGUAUAUUAAAGUUGUUGCAGUUAAAAAGCUCGUAGUUGAACGUUGGGCACGGGUGUACAUGGUGGCCCGAUUCGGGUGGUACUAUGGCACUAGGCCUCUUUUACGGGGACUCUUGACCAUGUUUAGUUAUGUGGGCAGGAGGGAACCGGCUGUUACUGUGAAGAAAUUAGAGUGUUUAAAGCAGGCAUACGCUUGAAUACGGCAGCAUGGAAUAACAAUUAUAGGACUUUGGUUCUAUGUUUGUUGGUUUGAGGGCCAAAGUAAUGAUUAAUAGGGCCAGUUGGGGGCAUUAGUAUUCAGUAGUCAGAGGUGAAAUUCUUGGAUUUACUGAAGACUAACUAGUGCGAAAGCAUUUGCCAAGGAUGUUUUCAUUAAUCAAGAACGAAAGUUAGGGGAUCGAAGACGAUCAGAUACCGUCGUAGUCUUAACCAUAAACGAUGCCGACUAGGGAUCGGCAGAUGUCGGUUAGCGACACUGUCGGGACCUUGUGAGAAAUCAAAGUUUUUGGGUUCUGGGGGGAGUAUGGUCGCAAGGCUGAAACUUAAAGGAAUUGACGGAAGGGCACCACCAGGAGUGGAGCCUGCGGCUUAAUUUGACUCAACACGGGAAAACUCACCAGGUCCGGACAUAGUAAGGAUUGACAGAUUGAGAGCUCUUUCUUGAUUCUGUGGGUGGUGGUGCAUGGCCGUUCUUAGUUGGUGGAGUGAUUUGUCUGGUUAAUUCCGAUAACGAACGAGACCUUAACCUGCUAACUAGUAGGCGGAAAAUAUGGUUCCGCGCGACUUCUUAGAGGGACUGACUACGUUUAGUAGUCGGAAGUUUGAGGCAAUAACAGGUCUGUGAUGCCCUUAGAUGUUCUGGGCUGCACGCGCGCUGCACUGACAAAGUCAGCGAGUAAAUGUACCUUGACCGAGAGGUCUGGGUAAUCUUGUGAAACUUUGUCGUGCUGGGGAUAGAUCAUUGCAAUUAUUGGUCUUGAACGAGGAAUUCCUAGUAAGCGCAAGUCAUCAGCUUGCGUUGAUUACGUCCCUGCCCUUUGUACACACCGCCCGUCGCUACUACCGAUU